UCCCAAAAUUUCACCAAUGUGUCAGAGCA
rnacentral:piRNA from 1 species